rnacentral:antisense_RNA from 1 species
AAAUAUGCUCCAGCUAUAAGUAACUUUCUUCUAGAAUUUUAACAUGAAUAAGUAAAAUUCUUCUGAUAUGAGUAUUGGCAAGCUAAAGAACAGGCAGGGAAUCUUAACUAGAUUUCCACAGACUAUUCUGAAAAACAGUUAAAACUUUUCAUGGGUGUAUGUAUUUGCCCAGGAAAGGAUCCAAAACUUUUAACAUAUUUUCAGAGGUAUCUGGGACAAACAAAUAAAAAUACAAACAAUGUAGAAAAGAACAUGAACCAAGCCAGAAAUUUUGACUCAGUAAACAGAUCAAAAAGCAAUAUAUCUUAGUGGUCAACCCUGAAGGUUCUGCACAGACUCAAACACCAACAAACAGAUUUUGAAAAAAAGAAACUGACGUUUUCAAGGCGAUAGUGCCAGUUGUUUCAAACCAGGCCCCUUAUUCUUGCUAGAGACUUCCCUGAAAACCACAGCACCUUGAAACACUCCUUUUCUGUAUAAACCGGGUUCUGGCAACACACAACCAAAGUACUCUGACCUAAUACAUGUACUUCCCACCAGGUUUUUGCAAUUAUUAAGUGAGACAAUGGAAGAAAGAGCUUUCAAAAGCAUAAAGCAUUCUACAAGUUUUCAGAUGAAGACUAAUCAUCAGAAAAACUAACUUCAUGAUUAGAAAGUUG